rnacentral:pre_miRNA from 1 species
GAGGAGGUGGGAGUGAAGCUGCCAGCAUGAUCUAGGUUUUGAGUUUGUUAUACUCAUGACAUAGGUCAUGCUCUGACAGCCUCACUCUUUCCUAAU